rnacentral:rRNA from 1 species
ACGCUGGCGGCGUGCCUAAUCCAUGCAAGUCGAACGCACAGCGAAAGGUGCUUGCACCUUUCAAGUGAGUGGCGAACGGGUGAGUAACACGUGGACAACCUGCCUCAAGGCUGGGGAUAACAUUUGGAAACAGAUGCUAAUACCGAAUAAAACUUAGUGUCGCAUGACACAAAGUUAAAAGGCGCUUCGGCGUCACCUAGAGAUGGAUCCGCGGUGCAUUAGUUAGUUGGUGGGGUAAAGGCCUACCAAGACAAUGAUGCAUAGCCGAGUUGAGAGACUGAUCGGCCACAUUGGGACUGAGACACGGCCCAAACUCCUACGGGAGGCUGCAGUAGGGAAUCUUCCACAAUGGGCGAAAGCCUGAUGGAGCAACGCCGCGUGUGUGAUGAAGGCUUUCGGGUCGUAAAGCACUGUUGUAUGGGAAGAACAGCUAGAAUAGGAAAUGAUUUUAGUUUGACGGUACCAUACCAGAAAGGGACGGCUAAAUACGUGCCAGCAGCCGCGGUAAUACGUAUGUCCCGAGCGUUAUCCGGAUUUAUUGGGCGUAAAGCGAGCGCAGACGGUUUAUUAAGUCUGAUGUGAAAGCCCGGAGCUCAACUCCGGAAUGGCAUUGGAAACUGGUUAACUUGAGUGCAGUAGAGGUAAGUGGAACUCCAUGUGUAGCGGUGGAAUGCGUAGAUAUAUGGAAGAACACCAGUGGCGAAGGCGGCUUACUGGACUGCAACUGACGUUGAGGCUCGAAAGUGUGGGUAGCAAAC